ACUCAGAGUUCAGGGUUAGGCUCAGUUUGUUAACACUCCUUCCUGAAACGGACCCCAGAGGUAAAACUCAAUU